CCGAUCACCUCCGCCUCCCCGAUUCCAGCCGCCGCGCUCCGAUCCCCACCACCGCGCCCCGAUCUCCUCCGCCUCGUGUCUCCCGGCCGCGCCCCCGUCCGUGCCAUCGCGGCCGGAUUUCCGACGUUGCACGGCUUGCGCCUGGAUCACACCGCCUCCAGGCCAUCCACCGUACCGCCGUCAAACGCCAGGGUGCUGCCGCCCAAGAUGGCGGCCGCGCUUCCGCUCUGCAUCAUGGCGAUUGAUGUGACCAGAGGACAGCACGAGUGGGAAGCGAAAAGCCUCCUCGUGCAGCACCGGAGGCGAUUGGGAUGGAGCCCCCGCCACCGUUCCCCUGCCACUCUAUUUUCAAACGACUGCGCAAGUGCCUCCUUCUCUCUCUCUCUCUCUCUCUCUCGUUUCUCACUUCUAGGUUGUGUGCUUCUACUCCUAGAUGAUUUUAAAGAUGAACCUCCCCUGCUUGACAAAGUGUGCCGUGACUGAAUUAGUAAGAACUGUAUUAUUUCACUCCAAUCGAUCUGGUUCUUGAUCCACCAGAUAGCGGGAGAGCAUAGGUGAUGGCUGGGUAAUUAAAGGGAUUUGUGAGCAAAGGAUUGUGAUCCUUGCACCUCUCAUUUGGAUCGAUCGUGAUGAUCUAUUUCUCUGGGACUUCCAAUCUUCACGAUCCUCUCUGCUCGGAUGGGGAAAUGCAAAUUCUUUUUUAUUCUUUAUUAUUGAAUCAUGUACCAUUUGUUUUCAGGGUCGGAUCCAAUUAUCGGUGUGUUUACAUUUAUCACUGCUUAGUGUUUCUUUUUGUGCAGCGUGUGUUUUUCAGAGCUUCAAAUAAAAGGAGGACGAGGGGCGAUUUAGGAAAUUGUUGUUGUGGUCACGAGGACAUCAGGCCAAAGGUAGUGGACCUCUAGGAACAAUGAAGUGAUAUUUGUAUGGAAAGUUUGUUGAUUCUGGAUGUCAGCGUUUUUCCUUCUGGAAGCAUUUUCUGAUUACAUGAACAAGUAUCACACUGGAACAUUUGGGGCGUCAUAACAGACUUUAAGAACAUAACCCCGAUGAAUUUCAGAAGUUUGAACCCAUUUUUUUCUCUUCUUUUGGAGAAUUGUGAAGCCAACAAGAAUGCAGAAACUAGCUCAUAUGUUGCGAGGAAUCACAUACCUAAUAGCACAAUGCUAUCAUGAGAGCGGGUGUGCUCUCAUGAGGUACAUGGAGGGCCAGUGAGGUGCCAAGAUCUACCAGCCGCCCAUGGAACCUGUAUUGCCGUCCUCAACCAUAUAUCAUCUUUCUAACACUUUCUUGUUUGAUUUUAAUCUUUUAGUUUUCUACCGUUCCAGUAGCAUCUCUCCAUUUAUCUGGAAGUAUUGGUAUUGAUGGUUGCAACUGAUGAAAGGUGACAACUAUUCUUGGUAUGUAUCAUCCGAGCAGAAAUUGACCAUUCUUUGACAACAACAGUUUUGCACUAUCUGUAAUGAACUUUGCUAACGCUUUCGAGUGAGCUAUCUGUCUGUGGAA